GCCGGCGUAGCUCAGGGGUAGAGCAACUGAUUCGUAAUCAGUAGGUCCGGAGUUCAAAUCUCCGCGCCGGCACCA
rnacentral:tRNA from 1 species